rnacentral:pre_miRNA from 1 species
UAGGGUGACGAACCAUCCUGGCUUGCCUGGGACUGGCCCCGUUUCAGCACUGAAAGUCUUGGGCAACCUGGAAUGGUUGGUCACCCUGACAUCAA